rnacentral:rRNA from 1 species
UACAGAGGGUGCGAGCGUUGUCCGGAAUCACUGGGCGUAAAGGGCGCGUAGGCGGUUCGCUAAGCGUGCGGUGAAAGCUCGGGGCUCAACCCCGAGUCGGCCGUGCGAACUGGUGGACUGGAGCAUGUCAGAGGCAGGCGGAAUUCCGGGUGUAGCGGUGGAAUGCGUAGAGAUCCGGAAGAACACCGGUGGCGAAGGCGGCCUGCUGGGACAUUGCUGACGCUGAGGCGCGACAGCGUGGGGAGCAAACAGG